CCUACGGGAGGCAGCAGUGAGGAAUAUUGGACAAUGGGCGCAAGCCUGAUCCAGCCAUGCCGCGUGAGUGAUGAAGGCCUUAGGGUUGUAAAACUCUUUUAGUGGGGAAAUGGUACCCACAGAAAAAGCUCCGGCUAACUUCGUGCCAGCAGCCGCGGUAAUACGAAGGGAGCUAGCGUUACUCGGAAUCACUGGGCGUAAAGCGUAUGUAGGCGGAAUUACAAGUCAGAGGUGAAAGCCCAGGGCUCAACCCUGGAAUUGCCUUUGAAACUGUAAUUCUUGAGUAUGAUAGAGGAUGGUGGAAUUUCUAGUGUAGAGGUGAAAUUCGUAGAUAUUAGAAAGAACACCGGUGGCGAAGGCGGCCAUCUGGGUAUACUGACGCUGAGAUACGAAAGCGUGGGGAGCAAACAGGAUUAGAUACCCCAGUAGUC
rnacentral:rRNA from 1 species